UACAUGUGGGGCAAGCGUUGUUCGGAAUUACUGGGCGUAAAGGGUGCGUAGGUGGUUUGUUAAGUCACGGGUGAAAGUUUUCGGCCCAACCGGAAAAUUGCCUGUGAUACUGGCGAACUUGAGUGCGUGAGGGGUAACCGGAACGAGCAGUGUAGCGGUGAAAUGCGUAGAUAUUGCUCGGAAGGCCAGAGGCGAAGGCGGGUUACUGGUACGCAACUGACACUGAGGCACGAAAGCGUGGGGAGCAAACAGG
rnacentral:rRNA from 1 species